rnacentral:rRNA from 1 species
UACAGAGGGGGCAAGCGUUUGUUCGGAAUUACUGGGCGUAAAGGGCGCGUAGGCGGCCUGUUAAGUCGAACGUGAAAUCCCCGGGCUCAACCCGGGAACUGCGUCCGAUACUGGCAGGCUUGAAUCCGGGAGAGGGAUGCGGAAUUCCAGGUGUAGCGGUGAAAUGCGUAGAUAUCUGGGAGGAACACCGGUGGCGAAGGCGGCAUCCUGGACCGGCAUUGACGCUGAGGCGCGAAAGCCAGGGGAGCAAAACGGGG